rnacentral:tRNA from 1 species
CGCCUGUUGGCAUUCCAGCCUUCCUUCUCUUUCCUAUGUUUGUAUUAAUAUAUACAUUGCCAGAAUCAUUACAGA